rnacentral:snoRNA from 11 species
GAGUCCAUCCUAAUUCCCACAGGCUCAUAUUGGUAUCUGUUGGGUUUCGCUGGUGGACUACAUUAAUGCAGGAAUAUCCUCUUAAAACAGACAUUUGUUUGUCAGUUCAGAGAGGAGUUUCUGAACAGAU